UUGAACGCUGGCGGCAUGCCUUACACAUGCAAGUCGAACGGCAGCACGGAGCUUGCUCUGGUGGCGAGUGGCGAACGGGUGAGUAAUAUAUCGGAACGUACCCUGGAGUGGGGGAUAACGUAGCGAAAGUUACGCUAAUACCGCAUACGAUCUACGGAUGAAAGUGGGGGAUCGCAAGACCUCAUGCUCGUGGAGCGGCCGAUAUCUGAUUAGCUAGUUGGUAGGGUAAAAGCCUACCAAGGCAUCGAUCAGUAGCUGGUCUGAGAGGACGACCAGCCACACUGGAACUGAGACACGGUCCAGACUCCUACGGGAGGCGGCAGUGGGGAAUUUUGGACAAUGGGCGCAAGCCUGAUCCAGCCAUGCCGCGUGAGUGAAGAAGGCCUUCGGGUUGUAAAGCUCUUUCAGACGGAAAGAAAUCGGGCGCGUGAAUAGCGUGCCUGGAUGACGGUACUGUCAGAAGAAGCACCGGCUAACUACGU
rnacentral:rRNA from 1 species